UGCAGCCAAUCGCGAAGGAAAGUCAAGAAGCCAAACUUUAGGGAGAGUCCUGUGUCAAUGCCUGGACAUCCAUCUGGACAUGCAUCAGGCCUCCAUAUAACCCUCUGAUUACCCCAGGACUCACGUAUCCAGACUUUGUGACAUCUGACUAAUAACUCUCCUUGACCAGUCCUAGGGCUAAGAAUGCAGGGCUGCUAAUUCUCAAGAAUGUGCUUUUUACCAUAAGAACUUUUCUUUCUUCUCUGGAACACUUCUGGGGUUUUGCCUAGCUCUGUUUCCAGUUUGUAUAUUCUAAGAUCCUUGAAUAAAUCUUUAUCUUCGUUUCUA